CAUCAUCGGUGUUUCAAAGAAGUUCUCCGAUUGAAGCCCGGUUCCGUGGUCCCUUCUCUCCUCCGGUGAAAAUUUGCAGUCAUCGUCACUAUGACCCAAACGAUCGCACCGGUAGCACACUACAGGUGCAUUUUCAUAGACGAAAGGCUGCCAGAAGAGACCCGCAUUCCCCCUGAUGGAUCCCCCCGGCUUCAACGGCUCCUCCACAUCGAUCUCCACUCGGACUCUGACGAACCC
rnacentral:lncRNA from 1 species